GAUGAACGCUAGCGGCAGGCCUAAUACAUGCAAGUCGAGGGGCAGCAGGAAUAGCAAUAUUUGCUGGCGACCGGCGCACGGGUGCGUAACACGUAUACAAUCUGCCUUCUGCAGGGGGAUAGCCUUUCGAAAGAGAGAUUAAUACCCCAUAAUAAAUUGAAUAGCAUUAUUUGAUUUUGAAAGAUCCGUCGGUAGAAGAUGAGUAUGCGGGUGAUUAGCUAGUUGGUGAGGUAACGGCUCACCAAGGCAACGAUAACUAGGGGAUCUGAGAGGACUACCCCCCACACUGGUACUGAGACACGGACCAGACUCCUACGGGAGGCAGCAGUAAGGAAUAUUGGACAAUGGAGGCAACUCUGAUCUAGCCAUGCCGCGUGCAGGGUGAAGGCCCUAUGGGUCGUAAACUGCUUUUGUACGAGAGAAAACCUAUUUACGUGUAGAUAGUUGAUAGUAUCGUAAGAAUAAGGAUCGGCUAACUUCGUGCCAGCAGCCGCCGUAACAC
rnacentral:rRNA from 1 species